CCCGAACCCGCCCCCCUCACGCUUUUGGUUGACACAGUGGACAAGUCGCGAGGCGCAUUAGAGGUAUUCAGAUUUAGAUGAUCACUAAACCUAUAAGCCAUAAAGAAAUGGGAGAUGCAGAAUGGACGGGCUUUGGCCUUCAGGAGGGAUGAACCCGCUCCAAGGAAACAGAAGUGACGUGACCUCUGUCAGAAGAUCACAAAGCAUCAAAGCAAGGUGGAGCAGCUGUUCCCUGCUCAACCCUCUGGCCCUCAGGUGGAGAUGUAGCUCUUCCCUGCUCCACCCUCUGGCCCUCAGGUGGAGAUGUAGCUGUUCCCUGCUCCACCCUCAGGUCCACAGGUGGUGUUGCAGCUCUUCCCUGCUCCACCUUUGGGCUCCAUGAUAUUUACACCAGUGAGCUCACAGGUUCCUGUCCUGGUCGGUGCUCCACAGGCUCUGAAUGCCAGCCUCUCUCUGCUGUUCCUGCUCCUGCUCCUGCUCCUGCUCCUGCUCCUGCUCCUGCUCCUGCUCCUGCUCCUGCUCCAUACAGCCACACACUGACCCGCAGAGUACUGCCCAACACGUGUGAAGGUGUGGGAGGUUUGGGACAGCGGACACUGGACACAGCCAGUACAGGGAGUAGUGAACUACAUUGUGCCAAAGGAGCAGUGGUUGGCGGACAUAACAACAUGUAUCUCCCCCCCACCAGAGGCAUGGACACUGGACACUUAUUUAUGUAUAUAGUUCCGUGUAUAGUUUGAUAUUUAUUUAUAUAUAUGAUAUGUAUAUAUUUUAUUAAGUUUAUGAUAAUGUUUAUUUGAUGUUAAAACUCAUUUAGAGUGUUAUUUUUGUUAUACUGCACCUUACUUACUUUUAAGGGUUGUUUUACAUUGUAUUAAGUUGAAGUACUUUAAAAUAAA